ensembl:miRNA
CCUUAAGCUCAGUUUGUAGCCCAGGCUGGCCUUAAAGUCACAGUGAUCCUCCUGCCUCAGCCUCCUGGGUGCUGGGAU